GUGGGGAAUUUUGGACAAUGGGGGCAACCCUGAUCCAGCAAUGCCGCGUGCAGGAAGAAGGCCUUCGGGUUGUAAACUGCUUUUGUACGGAACGAAACGGUCCUGGUUAAUACCUGGGGCUAAUGACGGUACCGUAAGAAUAAGCACCGGCUAACUACGUGCCAGCAGCCGCUGUAAUACGUAGGGUGCAAGCGUUAAUCGGAAUUACUGGGCGUAAAGCGUGCGCAGGCGGUUUUGUAAGACAGACGUGAAAUCCCCGGGCUCAACCUGGGAAUGGCGUUUGUGACUGCAAAGCUGGAGUGCGGCAGAGGGGGAUGGAAUUCCGCGUGUAGCAGUGAAAUGCGUAGAUAUGCGGAGGAACACCGAUGGCGAAGGCAAUCCCCUGGGCCUGCACUGACGCUCAUGCACGAAAGCGUGGGGAGCAAACAGGAUUAGAUACCCGUGUAGUCC
rnacentral:rRNA from 1 species